CUCCGCUUUGCUCUGUCUCCUGAGGUGGGCCUGACCAACCUCCCCUUCUCUGCCUCAGUCCCUGGGCUCCAGGGCUCAGCUCCACAGCCCUCUGCCUAGCAGGCUGGUUCUCCCUGCCAAGCCCAUACCUGUGGUCACCUGGCCCUCCUGUGGUCUGAGUACCACUCCCCUGCCCCAGGAGCCACUCCCACUCCAGCUGCCUGUUUCCAGCAGGUUCCCAGUGCCCCCGACAAGCCCCUGCUGGUGUCUCCAUCUCCUGCCAAGCAUCCUCCAGUGCCUCCUCCUGUGGGCCUGGCCUCAGGGCUAUGGACAGACUCCUGUCCCAUCCCAGAGACCCCUCGUGAUCGUGCCCUGUCACCCCACUCCACCGAAAAGUAAACUGCAGGCACGUGGGCCGUGGCCCGGCUGGGUCGGCUGAAGAACUGCGGAUGGAAGCUGCGGAAGAGGCCCUGAUGGGGCCCACCAUCCCGGACCCAAGUCUUCUUCCUGGCGGGCCUCUCGUCUCCUUCCUGGUUUGGGCGGAAGCCAUCACCUGGAUGCCUACGUGGGAAGGGACCUCGAAUGUGGGACCCCAGCCCCUCUCCAGCUCGAAAUCCCUCCACAGCCACGGGGACACCCUGCACCUAUUCCCACGGGACAGGCUGGACCCAGAGACUCUGGACCCGGGGCCUCCCCUUGAGUAGAGACCCGCCCUCUGACUGAUGGACGCCGCUGACCUGGG
ensembl:lncRNA MEG3 maternally expressed 3